rnacentral:lncRNA from 1 species
CUAGGAUCAUGAAAACACGAUUUUUAUCAAGUUUUUAUUAAAUUCACCUUUGCACUUUAUUGUGGGACCUCGUGUCAUCAUGAAUGAUGAAUUUCAUUGUGUAAUGCAAUUGCGUAAGGAAUAACAUGAGAUGUGCAGUUAGCCAAUCAGAAUAACGAAUUAUAAUGAAACAUACAUCUUAUGUAAUUAUUAGUUAUAUAAAGGCAAAAUCAAUCGCUUUCGAUAUAUUACACAGCGUACUGCCCGC